rnacentral:lncRNA from 1 species
GCUGUAAUCAUAGGCGGCUAUAGGCCCGGGCAAGCCAGGGCUUUGCCCUGGUAGUUUUCAACCAAAACCACACCCAAAAGCCACAACUGUUUAUACUUGCUAUCAGCUCCA